UAGGGAAUCUUGCGCAAUGGACGAAAGUCUGACGCAGCCAUACCGCGUGAGGGAGGAAGGUCUUCGGAUUGUAAACCUCUGUCGGUGGAGAAAAACGGCAUCCAAGCGAAUAGGUUGGAUGAUUGAUGGUAUCCACAAAGGAAGCACCGGCUAACUUCGUGCCAGCAGCCGCGGUAAUACGAAGGGUGCAAGCGUUGUUCGGAAUUAUUGGGCGUAAAGCGCGCGCAGGCGGGUAGGCAAGUCAGAUGUGAAAUCUCGAGGCUCAACUUCGAAACUGCGUCUGAAACUAUCUAUCUAGAAUGUCGGAGGGGGAAGGGGAAUUUCGCAUGUAGGGGUAAAAUCCGUAGAGAUGUGAAGGAACACCAGAGGGGAAGCCGCCUUCCUGGACGAAUAUUGACGCUGAGGCGCGAAAGCGUGGGGAGCAAACAGG
rnacentral:rRNA from 1 species